rnacentral:rRNA from 1 species
UGAGGAAUAUUGGUCAAUGGGCGCAAGCCUGAACCAGCCAUCCCGCGUGCAGGAAGACGGCGCUAUGCGUUGUAAACUGCUUUUCCAGGGGGAGAAACUUGCGCACGUGUUGCGCAAUUGACGGUACCCUGGGAAUAAGCAUCGGCUAACUCCGUGCCAGCAGCCGCGGUAAUACGGAGGAUGCAAGCGUUAUCCGGAUUCAUUGGGUUUAAAGGGUGCGUAGGCGGACUAUUAAGUCAGUGGUGAAAUCCUGCAGCUUAACUGCAGAACUGCCAUUGAUACUGAUAGCCUUGAGUUUGGUUAAGGUAGGCGGAAUGUGUAAUGUAGCGGUGAAAUGCUUAGAUAUUACACAGAACACCAAUUGCGUAGGCAGCUUACUGAGCCGGCACUGACGCUGAGGCACGAAAGCGUGGGGAUCGAACAG